CGCACUGAUCACAUGCGCUCCGGUUCAGGGAGGGGACAAGACGCUGCGCGAUCACCGUUGAUGUUGAUCAGCCGGUGUCACGUUCAGGGGACCAAGCGGAGGACAGCAGUCACUCUCUGCAACAUUACAACCUUUGAUGUUCUGCCAGUCUGACGGCAAAUUCUAUCUGGACAUUUCUCUGGCCUUCAUGUCGCUAUAGAUAAGGUUAGUUACUCCCUUAGUUAAUUAGACUAAAUCUGGGUCUAUUGUGACUGACUGCAGCCUGAAAAUGCUAAACUGAAAUAAUAUACUUUUGGGAUGAAUUGCUCAAGCCUUGUGCGCAUUCCUACAAUCUACAAGGCCAUUAAACAUUUUCCUGGAUGCUGGUGCUGACUUAAGCACUAUGAAUGUAUCACAAUGUCAGCUAGCAGGUCCAAACUGGCUCCUCUUUUAUCAACACAUGACCUCAAACUUGUAUGCAGUAAGUGCUCUGUCAAGGAGAGAGAAAUUACGUAUAUGUUAAAAUCCGUCCACCACCAGUGUGCACGCGAUUUCCUGCUCUGCAAAGCCAAGGGUGGCAGAAAAUGGAGGCCUAUUUCUAGGCGGCCCAUGUUUCCAAGCCCAAGUCGGUAUGAGGUAUGUUACCACUUUGUGGAGGACCUUGGUUGCACAGUCCACAAGAACCGGUGUACUUUUGCCAGAAGUGAUGAGGAAGCUGCUGUGUGGACAUUUGAAAAGCAUCACAAAUUAGACCAUGUGGUUCUCUGUGAUCUUAUAACUCAGUCUGAGAGAGGAUCUGAUCAGCCUGACAACUCUGCACCUCAAGGGGAUGUUUUGGCAACUCUAGAUUUGAAGGCUGUGUGUGAUCUGUGUUCUGUCAAGAAGAAGGAAAUAACAUACACAGUUCAGUCAGUCAGUCACAAGUGCAGCAGAAAUCUGCUUUUAGCCAAAGCCAAAGCCUCAAACCAAUGGAGGCCUGUCUCUGAGCCUCCUCAAUGUGAACGUUUUGGUAAAAAUGUUCUUUACCAAAAGUGCAACUUUUUUGUUGAGGGCUUUGGAUGUACACAGCAUGGAGAGGCAUGCACCUAUGCCAGAAGCUGCGAAGAGGCUGCUGUAUGGAACUAUGUCAGGGACAAGAAAAUUGAUAAAAAUCAAUUGCUCAGCCUUGUAAUUGAAAGAGAGCCUAUUCCAACACCAGAAAGCGCAGCUAAAAGCAUGCUUAAGCAGUUUUCAGGUAAAUUCAUUGAGCUCUGCAAAGACUGCUUUCAUGAUCGCCCACAAAUAUUGACAGCUAAACGGUGGAACGAAACUUGCUCAGCAGAUGCAGCGCACCCCUGGGAUCCAGUCUUAGUACAUCACCUAUCAGAGUAUAAUGGAAAGCAAAUCUACAGCCAGGUGCGCCCCCUCCCCCCGAACUGUCAGUUUAAGUACUGCAGUCAUGUCUGGCAAGGUAUGCCCUGUUGGCAUGAGGCCAGCCACUGCCAGUCUGCCCAGAGCGAGGUGGAGAUGGCCGUGUGGAAAGCGGAGCACAGCGGACUCUCAGUUCCGCCUCAUCUCCUUCAGUUGAGUGAGCCGGAACAGACGCAGACCAGACAGGUCGCCAUGUACUGCAAAGUUUGCCUCCUGUCCCUGUCCUCCCCAGAGAGCUUCUACAAGCACUGCUCCUCUUUGGAGCAUGCCCAGUUACUUUCUGAGGACACCACCACCAAGUGGAGAGGACGACAGCCUCCACACAACCUCCAAGCUGAUUUAUGGCUCUGUGAAAGACCACAAACUUGUGAGUACGGCAGUAAGUGCCCAAAAGCUCAUUCUGUGGAAGAACUGCAGGAGUGGAUGAUGCGUGCUGCAGAAGAGAAGAAGAUCAGACAUAGCAUUGAAGCCCAGGGUCUCAUGUGCUAUAAUGAAAGACUCUUGGAGGAAUACAGAAACAGCAGUAAUGAAGUGCCUGUUUUAUCAGAACAAGUUGACGACGUCAGGAUCUCUUGUGAUGAAGAUUUAACUGUGACGUGUGAACAGAACAAUACAACACUGCAAUGGAACUUCCAAAUUGAAACAGAGAGACAGCUUGUGCAUGUGGCACUGUUGAAGCAAGAACCAGGAGCUUCUUUCACCCUUGGUGACAUCAGUUCUGUACCCUGCAUCUACUCCUCAGGUGAACACUUUCACAGUGAUGACAUGACCUAUGACAUCACCGUGUCUUUCACAUGCAUCAACCCGGGCCUCUAUGAACAGUGGUUAGUGCUAGAUUUUGACAUGAGACCAGUGCUUGUGAGGAAAUUUAGAGUAAGAGUUGGCCAGCUGUCAUUGGAUGACACUGAAGAACAGACUGAGAACCGUGGAGCCAACUUUCAUAGUGUUGAGCGAUGGCAUCGAGGGAACAGGGUGAUCAUCCCAGGUUCCUCCAGGACAGAAGAACACGAGGAGCUAUUAAAGGAGUACAAGCCCCCUCAGAUUAAUAUUCAGUAUAAAUCCUCCUACAACAGCCAAACACCUCUGAAUAACGAGAACUACAAAGAAAGAAUGCACCACUUCCUGUACAAUGAAGAAUGGGCAGAGGACCAGAUUGUUUCAAGACUCAAUGUUUGUGGAGAAAUUACAACACUGGAUAGUACACAGUUUGGCAUGACAGAAGCACCUGGGGGACUGUUCUGUACUGUCUCAAUUCCUUAUAGCCUCACACCAGACACCCCUGAGGGACAGGCACUAAAACGAAGCAUCCAGUCUGCCUUGAUAGCCCCUUCAAGUGGUCAAAACUCAAGGGUCUAUGAAGCCACCAUCCUGAAAGACAAAACAAGUGAGCACAAAAUGUACUUGCAUCUGUCCAAAAAAUGUUGCUCUGAUCUUCUUCUCCAAAGCAAUGAAUCGUAUCGAAUGGAGGUACAGUUUCAGCUGAACCGCCACAGCUUCUGCACCAUGCAUAAGGCAGUCGACCUCCUACCUGAUACAAAAAGAGUGUUACCAGACCUUAAAAACUGUGGAGUUCCUGUGAAUGACAUGCUUUAUGAGCAGCUGAAUACAAAGCAGCCGAAUACAAAGCAGAAGUUAGCAAUUGACUUUAUCACUGGGAAUUCCAGUGGCCAAAAAUUUGUGGCGCCACUCCUCAUUUAUGGACCAUUUGGAACUGGGAAAACAUUUACUCUUGCUACAGCAGCCAGAGAGCUUUGUAAGCAGCCUAACAACAAAGUGCUCAUUUGCACCCACACCAACAGUUCUGCAGAUCUGUACAUCAGAGUACAUUUCCAUCCCUUCAUCAAGAAACAUGUUGGAAUGAAGCCAAUUCGAAUGAAAGCAAACAAACAAGGGAAUGCUUUGUCUGCCACAGAUGACAUUACUUUGAAUUACUGUUUUCUUUCGGAAGAUAGAAAGUAUUUUCUACCACCUACAAAAGCUGCCCUAGAUCGCCACAAUAUAAUCAUUACCACAACAACAAUGGCAAGAUCUUUUCAUGACCUAAAACUCCCAGAGGGAUACUUCACCCACAUACUAAUUGAUGAAGCCUCUCAGAUGCUAGAAUGUGAGGCCUUGAUGGCCCUUGGUCUUGCUGGGCCAAACACCAGAGUUGUUUUGGCUGGAGAUCACAUGCAAAUGGGACCCAAACUUUUCUCAGUUGACGACCAUCACCGUUCAAAUCACACACUCCUUAAUCGUUUGUUCCACUACUACCAAGGCCAAAAUUGUGAUGCUGCCCAGAACAGUAGAAUCAUAUUCAGUGAAAACUACCGCUCAACCAAAGAGAUUGUGGAGUUUGUGUCCACCCAUUUCUACGUUGGUAAGAAUGAUAUUAUCACAGCUACUGGAGAAAUUCCGGCUCCUGAAAAUGGCCAUGCCCUAAAGUUUCACCAUGUUAGGGGAGAGUGUCUCUUGGACACUGUGUCAGUGUCUUGGUAUAACACAGAAGAGGUUUCCAAAGUGGUUGAAGAAGUCAGAGCGAUUCUCCAACACUGGCCAUCGACCUGGGGUACCAAGGACCAAAGCUCAAUCUGCAUUCUAUCAGAGGGAGUUCAGGUUCGGCAAAUUAGGAGGGCGCUUUCGAGAGGAGGCCUACCUAAAGUUCACGUUGAGAAUCUUGCAAAUGUGCAAGGCAAAGAGUUCAGGGCAGUCAUAAUGACAGCUGUCCAAACACGUGACAGCCUAAACACGUCUCAUCUGCCUGGUCUGGAGCUCUUUAAUGAUGCCCGUGUGUUAAACACUGCGAUGACUAGGGCUCAGUCUCUCGUGGUUGUGGUUGGAGAUGCUGCUGCUCUCUGUUGCUUUGGGAAAUGCUCAGGAGUCUGGAAAAGCUACACAGACCACUGCAUUAGCAACAACAGUGUGGCACCACAGCAUUUUACCAAAGAUUUCUUUGAAAAAGAUGUUAAAGAAACGGCAAGGUUUCAAAAGUCUGAACAUCUGGAUGAAAGCAAAAUUCUCACUGAUGCUAUUCUUCAAGAGUUGAAAGAUGAAUAUGAACAGCUAAAAGAAAACACUUUAGAUGAAGACAAUUUGGAACAUGAAGACUUUGAUCACCACAAGCUAAGAUCAUCAAACAGUGUCACUGAUGUUUGCACAGACCUUUUGGUAUUGUGUAAAAAACAGCCAGAGAUUUACAAGCAAGGAAAGUUGGUGAGGGAGACCUAUAACAGAGGUUAUGUCAUACCAUUUCAAAACCCCACCAAACGUAUAAGCAUUACAGGAAGGGAAAACCUGCGUAUGGUCUUCACUGGAGAUGAAGUGGUCAUAAACACUGGACGUGUGGUCAGCAUCACCAAAGAAGUGGAAUCAGCCCGUGUACUUGUGUGUCUGCUUGAGGAUGAAGAUCACAGCAAACCAAGACAGAAUUCUGAAGACCAAUUUGUCAAAAGAACAAUGGUGCCCAUCACAAAAUCUGCACCCAAAAUACGCAUACUGAUCAGCAAGAAAAGACGCAACUUUCUUCCUAUAUGGGAGAAAAUUAAUGGACAGUGGACAGUUGCAACACAUAAACAUAUCGAUGAAAACCUCACACAGAACAAUGUAUUUAUCGUGCAAGUGAUUGGUUGGAAAAAACAUUGUUCUAUUCCAUUGGGAAAUGUCAUAGAUAUUCUUCCAGUUGGAACAUCCUUGAAUGAUGGACAAAGGAUCCUGAAAGAAGAAUUUAAAGUUGCACCCCCUACAUCAGGUGAGGGUUUCUCCAUCACAGAAGAAGACAUCACAUCCAGACUGGACAUGCGUGAAGUAAUCACUUUCACUAUUGAUCCAGAAGGAGCAAAAGUGUUGGAUGAUGCCAUCAGUGUAAAGGAAAUUGGAGAUCACUAUGAGCUGGGAGUCCAUAUUGCAGAUGUGGCAAGCUAUGUGAGUCCAGGUAGUAAAUUUGAUGAGGAUGCAAAACAGCAUGGUACUGCAUAUCACGGCAGUGGUGAAAACACCAUUCAUAUGUUUGACCUAGACUUGAGCACUAAACACUUCAGUCUCCUGCAAAAUCAAGAUCGCAGGGUGGUUUCAUUAAUGUUCGAAGUAAACAAGCAAACAAAUAAGAUCAUUGGAGAACCCAAAUUCCAGCUGUCACUUAUUAAGUCUAAUAGGCAAUUCUCUUAUGAAGAGGCUGAGGACAUUAUCUCCACAAGAUAUAGAGAGAGACCUAAUUUUGACACAGUAGAAGACUGUGUCACAGUGGCCUAUUGUUUUGCAAAAGCUCAAAGGAAGAAUAGACUUGUGGAUUGGGCUUAUUCUCAACCUGAUGAUAAGAGAUUGCCCGGACAUCGCAAAGCCCAUCUCAUGGUUGAAGAGCUGAGUGUGUUAUUCAAUACACUUGCAUCAGAGAGAUUGAUUGAAUCAGAAAAAACCAGGUAUCUCACACCACUUCGCUGUCAGGAGAGUCCAGAUCCUGAAAAAAUAGAAGAAUUAAGAGAGAAGAAAAGUGCAGAAUUAAUACCACUGUCUUUCCAACUGCGGCACAAAGUUGUCCCUGUGGAACAAGCCCCAAACUAUGAAAAUUUCCCCAUACUUACAAAAGUGUGGAGAGAUAUCCUGUCAGCUGCCAAGGCAGAUGAUAUAGACAGUAUGGUGGACCUGAUUGCUGCAGAUGACAUCUACCCUCUCCUGCAACCACUCAUUGAUCAGUUCAGAAGGUGCUCUAGAAAAGCUUCUAUCAUCCGUUCCAACCUGUCCAAAGCAGGCCAUGGGCAUUAUUCUCUGAACGUAAGAUCUUACACACUAGCAUCCUCACCAAUACGGCGGUACAUGGACAUUAUCUUGCAAAGACUUUUGCACUCCAUCAUAUGUAACAAGGAUGUCCAAUACACUCGAACAGAGAUUUUGACUUUGUGCAGUCAGUUUGAUGACAACAUCAAGAAUGCCAAGGAGUAUGAACAAAAGCUUGAGCAGAUAUCCUAUGCAGUGACCAUGAAACAUCAGAGUGCUUCAAAGUUAGCCUUUGUUGUAAUUGUGGAACCCAACAACGAUAGUUUUGCAGUGUCGUUUCCUUUUAACAAGAACAUAUUUGCAGCGAGUUUAGCAAUUAUGUACAAAGAGUUACAAUUGUGCGACCAACCACUGUAUGACAAAGAAAAUCACUGUGUUACUCUUAAAUGGAAAAGGCGGAUCUACACAGUUGACACCAAGAAUAUCUACCAAGAACUGAAAAUACCAAACCGUGGUCGCUGUGUUGAGCUUCCUCUGAAAAUAUGGAGAGACACUGUUGAAGCAAUUGACAAUGAAAAGUGGGAUCAUGCAAAGUUUCUCAUAAUGGGUGCUAAUGUCUCUGAGGUACAAGAGGUGCCUCAUGACCGUUCUGUAGGACAUGAGGUUGACAUGAGCCUCCAGUUGCAAACAGGUGACAUCCUUCAGGUCCAAAUGACAUCAGAGUUAAAACGAGGUUAUCACAUGCCUGCUGUUCAGUUGGUGCACAUCAAUCCAAACUUUGAGAUUUGUGUGGACCAUGUCCACAACCCUAUCACAUGCUUCUCUAGAUCUACAGAUGCUCCAUCAAGGAAUUAUUAUAGUGACACAGAGGAGUAUGUACAGAUCUGGAAACCAAUGUGUGAGAUGGAAUCUGCUGCCACUGCAGUGGAUGAAAGUGACAGCAUAGUCAUUGAGAGCCUGGUGGUAAACUUCAAUCAAGAGCAGGAAGGCACACUAACAGGAAGCUUCUUCUUACCUCUGUCAUUGAUCAAUGAAUGGGCCAUUGAAUGUAACCUUUCAAAGUGCUUAUUGUGCAUACGGAAAAGAGGUUUGGAGUUGACGCCAAUCCCGGAACAUUCUGCACUUGUGGACCCAAGAGAGUUCAUAUGGGUCGCCCAUGGUGUCACAAGAAAAGUAGAAGAGAAAACUAAAACUCCAAAUGUAGGUAGUAAAGUGGAUUUCUAUGUCAAUCACCUGCCAAUGGCGAACAUCCCGAAAUGUGUCUUCGAGAGAAACACUUCUUUCACAGUUGAAAUAAUCCCAAAGCUCCUGCCAGACAUCCGGAAAGAAUAUGCUGUGGUCAAUGUUGCAUCUGAAUCUACAUGUAAGCUUGUCAAGAAUAUAGCACUUGGACAAGGAAUUCCAAGAGAGGUAAAAAACAUGUGGAACCCAGUGAGGAAAGAGCCCCCAUAUGGACUGCCAGAGCUUAACCCGAGUCAGCGUUCUGCUGUGGAAAAAGCUAUAAAUACUAGCUUCACACUUAUACAGGGACCUCCUGGAACUGGAAAGACGAUAGUAGGUGUGUACAUUGUGUCUCAUUUCUUGGAGCUGAACUCGAAGAACCCAAGGAAAGUAUGUCACCCAAAGGAUAAGAACAAGAAAGAAGUUAUUCUCUACUGCGGUCCAUCCAACAAGUCUGUUGAUGUGGUUGCAGAGUACCUGCUAAAGUUAGGGAAUAGCAUAAAGCCCCUCAGGGUCUACAGCCAACAAGUGGAGAUGCUUGAUUACCCGUAUCCAGACUGCACCAUUCAGUUUUCCCAGAGAAGUCUCCGCCAAGAGCAUUCCAAACCAGAGCUCAGGAGCAUCACUCUGCAUCACCGCAUGCGAGAGGAUCAAAAUCCUUUUUCAAGUCAAAUAAAAGAUUUUGACCGACGCAUUGAACUUGCACAAAAGAAGAAAGAAGUAAAACUUGAAAUUGAGAAAAAAGUACAGCUCCUAUGCGUUCAACUUGAUCUUAAGGAAAAAGAAGAGCCCCUACCCAUUCAACUUGUUCUUGAGGAAAUAGAAGAGCUCCGAUGCAUUCAAUUUGGUCUUGAGGAAGAAAAAGAGGUCCAACGCAUUCAACUUGCCCUUGAAGAAAUAGAAAAGCUUCGAUACACUCAACCAGAACUUGAGAAAAUAGAGGAGCUGACUGCUGGUGAAGUGACAGAAUAUAAAAAACUUCUCAGAGAAGCUCGGACAUAUGAGCUUGAACGGCAUGACAUCAUACUGUGUACAUGUACACAGUCGUCCACCCCGAGUUUAACUAAGACAGUCAGCGCACGUCAGAUCCUCAUUGAUGAAUGUGCAAUGGCCACUGAACCCCAGGCCCUGAUUCCAUUAGUCUGCAACAACAACCCAGAAAAGAUUGUUUUGAUCGGUGACCACAAACAGUUACGACCAAUUGUGAAGAAUGUGCGUGUAAGGAAGUUGGGGAUAGGCAAGUCUCUGUUUGAACGCUACCAUAUGAUGCACAAGAAGAGGGCAGUGAUGCUGGACACCCAGUACAGAAUGCAUGAGGACAUAUGCGAGUUCCCAUCAAAUGCAUAUUACGAGGGGAUGCUGAAAACUGGGGUGGAGCAGCCGAACAGUGUCCUUCGCGUUGGUGACAAGACAAUGCCAAUCGUUUUUGGGGACAUCAAAGGAGAGACCGUCAGACUGGUUGUCAACACAGCCAAGGGCAACGAGAACUCUAAAGCAAACCAGGAAGAGAAAAACAAAGUGAUUGCCAUUGCUGAAAAGCUGGUGACCAGUGCCAAAAUUGAACAGAAAGGUAUUGUGAUUCUGUCACCCUAUAAUGCCCAAGUAUCAGAGAUCAAAGAGGCGCUGAAGAAGAAGAAGCUGGAGCAAAUCACCGUUACCACAAUCACCAAAAGCCAAGGAAGUGAAUGGAAUUACGUCAUCAUAUCUACAGUGUGCUCUCUGCCAAGUGAGAAGAUUGUGAGAGAACCCGAUGGCGGUUGGCUGUCCAAACAUCUGGGCUUCGUGGACGAUCCCAACCAGAUAAAUGUGGGCAUCACCAGAGCCAAGGAGGGACUGUGCAUCAUUGGAGACUUAGAGCUGCUCAACUGCGGUGGAUCCUGGAGGGAGCUCCUGAAACACUACAAGCUUCACAAUGCAGUGACAGAUGCAGACAAGAUUACAGUGUGUGCCAACUGAUCUCUAUCAUUUUAAUGAGACUCAGACAAGCAGCAUAUCAUAUGUAUGACUUCAUGAAAUCUGUAUAUAAAUAUUGCUUUUUCUAUAUUUCUCCAGUAUUUUUAUGUAUUCUUUUUACAGUUUUAUAGCAGAUUUUUGAUAUUGUAUUUGACACACUUGUUUUUGUCACUUCUCUUGAACAUGGAAGCACCUGUAAAUAGGAAAUCCUACAACUGUGUAUGGAAUUUGACCAUAAGAUGUGCUCAUGUUAAUGCAAACCUUCAGGUUCAAAGUCUGAACACUUCAAUUUGUUUUUUUGUAUUUUUCAUUUUAAAUAUUUUUAUGAAAUGUUGUAGGUUACAAUAACUUAAGUGUGGACAGCUGACAAAAGACAGAGUUCAGCUCUUGCUCUUGAUCUUUUAAUUUAUUUUUAAGUUUAGUUCAAAUGUAGAGAAACGCUUCCAAUGAUGAAUUGCUCCUGUCCACUGAUAAAUGAGUCAGCAUUCCUUUUCAUUGUACAGCUGAUAUUUGUGCAGCUUUUGAUGUUUUACCUCUUCUUAUUGUUUUUGAUACCUGUAAAUGUUCAGAUUAGUUUUGGCUACAUAAUUAUCCAUAAAGAAGUUGUAUUUUGUAAAAUGUUCAGUAAUCUUUGUUUUUUUAAAGUCUUACUACAUUCAAUGAUUUUAGUAGCCUAAAUGUGUGUGCAAAUGUAUGAAGAUAUUAAAAAUGAAGAAUUCAUAUUGAAUGUUUUGUUUUUUCAGUUGUAAAUAUGAAAUAUUGAAAGCUAGGUGAUUAGCUAUCUAAGUUAGCUAUUCUAAAUGUCACAUUAGCCAGGUCUCAUAAGAAUAGACAGAGUUUCAUAGCCUGUUCUUUUCAUCACUCUUCUAAGAAGAUCCUGACUCCAAUAAAGUGUGCUUUUUCGUUA